rnacentral:rRNA from 4 species
AGAGAUCUGGAGGAAUACCGGUGGCGAAGGCGGCCCCCUGGACAAAGACUGACGCUCAGGUGCGAAAGCGUGGGGAGCAAACAGGAUUAGAUACCCUGGUAGUCCACGCCGUAAACGAUGUCUACUUGGAGGUUGUGCCCUUGAGGCGUGGCUUCCGGAGCUAACGCGUUAAGUAGACCGCCUGGGGAGUACGGCCGCAAGGUUAAAACUCAAAUGAAUUGACGGGGGCCCGCACAAGCGGUGGAGCAUGUGGUUUAAUUCGAUGCAACGCGAAGAACCUUACCUGGUCUUGACAUCCACAGAACUUUCCAGAGAUGGAUUGGUGCCUUCGGGAACUGUGAGACAGGUGCUGCAUGGCUGUCGUCAGCUCGUGUUGUGAAAUGUUGGGUUAAGUCCCGCAACGAGCGCAAC